ACGAGACCGCCACACACCUCGCAGCUAGACCGAAGGCCGUGUCGCGACCCCGCUGCAGCGACCCACGACGGGACGCCACCACCUCCCCGCACCUCCCGACCCGCCAGAUCGGGAGAACAACCACCACGCCAGAGCUGCAGGGCACGCCGCCGCCACAUCCCAGGUCACCAAACAGCCUCCAUACCCGCGUCACCCAACCGCGUGUGCCGCUGCCGCAGGGCCCCGCGCGAGUGCUGCAUCUCGGCCAAACCGCCACAUCCUGCGUUGUGCUCCCGGGUCGAGGAGGAAGAAGGCUUCGUCGCUGGCCACCACGACGGGCUUUGCCCCUGCCGGCAGCGGGAGGGAAGCCGUCGUCGGAAGGGAGAUAGGGAGACGACGGCGGUUCCACCCGAGAGCCGCCCGCGAGGGAUGACGAGGUGGGACGCCACCACCUCCCCGCACCUCCCGAAGAUCCCGACCGCCGGAUCGGGAGAGAAGCCACCACGCUGGAGCUGUAGGGCACGCCGCCGCCACACCCCAGGUCGUCACCAAACAACCUCCAUAUCUGCAUCCUGGCCAGGCCGCCACAUCCUGCAUUGUUCUCCCCGGUCGAGAAGGAAGAAGGCCCCGUCGCUGGCCAUCACGAGGGGCUUUUCCCCUGGUGGCGCCUGCCGGUGGCGGGAGGAGAGUCGUCGCGAUGACGGCGGUUCCAUCCGAGAGCCGCCCACGAGGGACUACGGGGGGGGGGNNNNNNNNNNNNNNNNNNNNNNNNNNNNNNNNGGGGGGGAGCGGGUGUCUUACCCCGACACAUUUUACUCCUAUGAGCACAUCUGAAAGGCUGAGCCGACACAUAUCUUGAGAUUGAUGAAGUUGGCACAAACAUCUUCGUAUUCGACAGGAAAGUAACCUGUCAUUGUAGGCAAGUCUAGGAGCACCAAUGUCAAUUUUAGAACUGUCUUUCUAUAACCAUCCAAUCACCUCAAUUUGUUAGGUUGAUAGGUUCAGCGUGAUGAAACCAGCCCAGCAGGGUUUAAGUUUUACACUUGACAUUGGUGCUCGCAUUUUUUCUAGUUUUAUUUCAUCCUUUUCGAUGAUUUUCAUUUAAUUGGUUAGUUCUGUGAGAGGAUAUGUUUCUGAGUUUCUGAAUUCCUACUUAUUUCAGGGCGUCCUUUUGCCUACCCCGUGGACUAUCCUUACGCAUUAAUUCGCUGCUACGAAACUUUGGAUAGGGGUGCGAAGAAGGGAAACAGAAGUUGUGUUGAUUGUCACAGGAAGACCUGACGAAACCCAAAUCUCUGGGGUUGGAGGACUAGACUUCCCAGGACGUUGAACUAUUCAAUUUUGCUUUACUUGCACGACAGGCGUGGAAGAUUCUUCAAAACCAUGAGAUGCAUAUCUACCUAAUUGGAUGUCUACUAUGUGUACAACUAUUGUCCGUUCGAUCGUCAUGUUUAUUCCAUUUGUCGUGGUUUAUUUAUCGCAUACCUGGAUAAAAUCAUAUGGAAGCCUGCUGAAAUAU
rnacentral:lncRNA from 1 species